rnacentral:lncRNA from 1 species
AACUAAAGAGGAUUAAAAGAAACUUUAGGGGCCCCUUAUAAAAAGGCACAUCGGUUUAAGCUGGGUAAUACUAUGGCCCAAUUCAAUGAAUCAGAAAACGUGGGCUCUUACUUCGAGAUGCUUGGGUGCCUACCCUGGUCAUUUAACCAACGCAAAGCUUAGAUAAUGCCAUGAUGAGUAAGGAAUAACUUUUAUUACUUUACCUUCAGAGCAUCCUGUUUUCGAAAAUGAAAACAUUUUAUGCAUCAUGGGUGGCG